UGUUUGCGAAAACCAACGGAUAAGUUCAGGAAAUUAAUUUUAGAAUAAAAUCUAACCAUUCCCAGAUUUUAUCCAGAACAGUAAUGUUUCUUCCGAGUGGAGUAGUCUUACUAGUGUUAUUUGUGGGUUUGGCUUUCGCCAUUCCACAACUUACCGGAUCUGGUCUGGUACCGCUGGGUGGUUUGAUCCCCAGCAAUUCAGGUGACGCGACCCAUGUUCCCGAUAGUGCCCCUGCCUACAAUCCAGCUGGUCGUCGGAAACGGCAAGUUCGUGAAACCGACGCUCCAGUGGAUUCGAUUGUUGCAGCUGAAGGCAUAAUUAUGGCGCCCGCUCGGAAACGAUAGGAUUGAAACGAUUUUUGCCAAAUGUCGAAGCAGAGUUUGUGUCAGAUAAAAGGCGAGAACUUCAUCGGCUUGAUUUUAGGGCAUCUUCAGCAGUAUUUUCAAUAUUUCGAUAUGAAGUUAUUAGGUUAUAAGUUCUAAUUUGACGUCCAUUAAAAAGUAGUCCAAAACUUUACAAAAAAAGCAUAGAUGACUUAAAUGAAGCACGAGUCUCUCUUGUCUAGCCAGUAGAUACCGAGUAAAAAGUUUGUAUUUUGCAACUACAAUGAUUUCAUGAUUUCUGGAUUGUACCAAUUGUAUGAAAUUGUUGCGCAAGCGAUUUUUUUUGCAUUUGCAUAUAGCGCUGUAAUAAAGAGGUCAAAAAUGCGGUGUUGGUCCUAUUUUCCCAAUAGAAACAACAAAACUCUGAAAA